CCUACGGGAGGCAGCAGUGAGGAAUAUUGGUCAAUGGACGAGAGUCUGAACCAGCCAAGUAGCGUGAAGGAUGACUGCCCUAUGGGUUGUAAACUUCUUUUAUGUGGGAAUAAAAUGUUACACGUGUGGGAUUUUGUAUGUACCAUAUGCAUAAGGAUCGGCUAACUCAGUGCCAGCAGCCGCGGUAAUACGGAGGAUCCGAGCGUUAUCCGGAUUUAUUGGGUUUAAAGGGAGCGUAGGUGGAUUGUUAAGUCAGUUGUGAAAGUUUGCGGCUCAACCGGAAAAUUGCAGUUGAAACUGGCAGUCUUGAGUACAGUAGAGGUGGGCGGAAUUCGAGGUGUAGCGGUGAAAUGCUUAGAUAUCACGAAGAACUCCGAUUGCGAAGGCAGCUCACUGGACUGCAACUGACACUGAGGCUCGAAAGUGUGGGUAGCAAACAGGAUUAGAUACCCCAGUAGUC
rnacentral:rRNA from 1 species